rnacentral:rRNA from 1 species
UACGGGGGGGCAAGCGUUGUUCGGAAUUACUGGGCGUAAAGGGCUCGUAGGCGGCCAACUAAGUCGGACGUGAAAUCCCCAGGCUCAACCUGGGAACUGCGUCCGAUACUGGAUGGCUUGAAUUCGGGAGAGGGAUGCAGAAUUCCAGGUGUAGCGGUGAAAUGCGUAGAUAUCUGGAGGAAUACCGGUGGCGAAGGCGGCAUCCUGGACCGACAUUGACGCUGAGGAGCGAAAGCCAGGGGAGCAAACGGGAUUAGAAACCCCAGUAGUCC